GGGGUUUUUUGCAGGGAUGGCUGUGUCUGGAAACCUUAUUUCUAGCUGUCCUUCUGUUGCUCAACUCUUUCUUUUUAAAUUUUAUUUUUUUCAGUCCAUGUUUGCAGGACGUAAUGGUUACACUCAUUAUGGAGAGUGGGUACAUGGACCUAGCACAUCUUCAUUCCGUCAGAGAGAAGGGAAGGUCUCCUGAUUUAUCGGGGCUCUCACCGAAUCGUCCAGGCUGGGCUCCGGCCACCCGCCCACCUCGGCUCCCUGGUAGCUGGGACCCUCAGUGCACACCGCCACCAGCACCACGCCAGCUCCCUGCUCGGUCUCAGUGGCCUCCACCUUUCAGUGAAAAGGCCACAGUGCUGGGAGCAGAGGUCGCGCUUCUUCAGAUCGUUCCCUUUGGUCAUCUGCCAUUUCUGAUUGAGUCUAAACUAGAUGUGGCCAAGGGACAAAGAAAAAGCCACCAUUCGUAUUAACCUAUCAGGGAGCACAGACCUUGAAUCCCCAGCCCCCACCCCCAGAUCACUGCUAGCGAUGAAAGAGCACGAGGCUGACAGUCAGCUUCUCCCACCCUGAGUGGAAGGAAGGCCUUUCCGCCACAUGCUCUGCUCACACCGUGGUAUCUAUGAGAACCAAUCUGUACACUGAACUGUGACCCUCCAGGAAAACAAGCUGUGAGCUCUUUGAGAUCCUGGGCAGGCCCUUCAUUCGCGUCUCUCCCCAGCUCCCCC
rnacentral:lncRNA from 1 species